GUGCUGGUUUACAUUUCCUUGUCACUUUAUAGUUUUGGGGACGGGCUGGUGACGACCGACUUUGCCCAUAGAAAAACAGGGCAAGGAAAGAGGGCAAUGUCCGCUGCAAGAGGUGUCUUGUUCUUCCUCUUUAUAACACAGCAAAUACCCGACAACAGCAGUGUAUAGAACGAAGGUCUGUCCUAGCCCAUGACUUACGGAACAUUCCAUCAUUGCGAAGAAGGCAUGGUGACAGCAGCAGGAAACAUCUACUCCCACUAUUUUCACUGCUGGAAAGCAGAGUGUCCUACUGCCUGGAGGUCACCAUUGGACAGACUUUUGAUGCCUGAGAAGGAUGUGCACUGGCCCGGAGUUGAUUUUGAAGUUGAUGCCACCAGAUGGUGCUUAGAACUGAGGUAAUUAAAAC
rnacentral:lncRNA from 1 species